rnacentral:rRNA from 1 species
GGCCUGGCCGGGCGGUCCGCUUAACAGCGUGUACUGUCUGGCUGGGUCUUACCUCUUGGUGAGCUGGCGUGCCCUUUACUGGUGUGCGUCGGGGAACCAGGACUUUUACCUUGAGAAAAUUAGAGUGUUCAAAGCAGGCAUGUUUGUCUGAAUACAUUAGCAUGGAAUAAUAGAAUAGGACAUGCGGUUCUAUUUUGUUGGUUUCUAGAGUCGCUGUA